rnacentral:rRNA from 1 species
CCUUUGUACACACCGCCCGUCGCUACUACCGAUUGAAUGGCUUAGUGAGGUCUCCGGAUUGGCUUUGGGGAGGCGGAAACGCCACCUUAUUGCUGAGAAGCUGAUCAAACUUGGUCAUUUAGAGG